CGCCAGGCUCCGGGGCGCGCGUGGACGUGGGUCCUCCCGGGCCUCUAGGCGCGCUUCCAACGCCGCUCCCCCACGCCUGCAUUCCGUCGCCGGCGGCGCGGCGGUCGGUGGGUCCGUCGUCUCAGGAGCUCGGGAGGAGACGAAGAAUCUCCUUUGCCCCAUGUUUCCACUGAUAUGAUGUUCUGCCCAAACACAUGAAACGAAGCAACCAGGAUGGAAUGCUCUGGAACUGUUAACCAAGAUAAUUUUACCCCUCCCACAGCCUUUCCUCAUAUAUUCUGAAAUUGCACAUUUAUUCAGAUGCUCCUGGCAUGUGAGCCUUGCCCCUUGCCUCUCCAGGCCUCCUCCUCUUCUGAGAGCUUUUUGUUUUUGUUUUGUACUUAGGGUAGCCUUCCAGACCAGCAAUCUGGUACACACGUCACAAGGGGUCUCAGUCUUCAUCGACUGAGACUAAGCAAUAUGGUGUACACAUCAACUGUCGGCUGUGGGAACUAUUUACUUGGUGAAUUCCAAUUUAGCCAUCCUAGGACCUGGAAAUGUCUCCAGCACGGACCUGGAUGGCUCCUUCAAACUGCCAGUGGAUCACACCGUGCAAUUCCCCAGCAGGAGAAGGCCUUCUCUUCUCACAGCUAGUAACGGGGCGAAAGCCCCCAUUUCCUCUUCUGUCGAAUGUUGAGAUGGAUCCUAGGGGCUUUCAGAGAUACCCUUCUUCAGUGCACUUUGUUUCUCUGGUCAACUUCCUACCUGCUGAGACUUCCAGCCUCCCUUACCUGGCUGCAGCUUCUGCACCCCCCCCCCCCAGCCCUGCUGUUGCUUUGUUUCUCACACAGACUCACACUUGCCUAGGUCUCAAACUGACACAUUUUUACCCACUUCUGCUCAUAUCCAACUAGAACACCUUUGACAAAAUGGCUUUGUUGAUAUAGAGGACAUACAUGAUACAAUGUAUCU